CCGCCUCCGGCCGCGCCUCACCGCCUGCCACCGUCGUCCUCUCUCGUCGGCGGAGAAUUCUCCUUAGGCGACUUUUGAAUUAUUAAAGUGGUCUUGCAGUUUGUUUACACAAGUCUCUAAGGAUCAAUAAGCGUUGCCCAUCUACAGGUUUGAAGAUGAUGCAUCAUUGGGAUCGGGAUUAGAGAGCUUGUAGUUAUAUUUGUUUUAUUAAGUGAUUUGGUUUGUUAACUUAAAUUUGAAAGUUGUCG